UCCCGAUUAGCUCAGUCGGUAGAGCGUCAGACUUUUACGUACAAAGGUCUCCGAGAAUUUCCAUACUCGGACUUGUCAUCUGAAUGUCAGGGGUUCGAGCCCCCUAUUGGGAG
rfam:Pseudozyma hubeiensis SY62 DNA, scaffold: PHS52.